rnacentral:sRNA from 1 species
AUGAACCUGCAAUACUGUCCCAACCCAUGGGCAAGGUUUAGUAUUUGGAGAAAACAUGCAGUUUUACCGCAAGAAUGCUCUACAGUGUCGUUGCCUUCUAAUUUGGUGUUGAAUAUUUUGAAGAACAGGGCUACUAGUUAUUUGACGGAUAUGACUAGAAUCACUGAUUAGCUCGCUGACGAUAACAAAUGUCAUUUAACUAUGCGAAUAUAGUCUCACUGCCCCCAUUGACGAAUGUCAACUGAGACACUGGAGUUGCCUUGAGCGAAUCGAUGAGUUCACAAAAAGGAAAACGAGAGAACCCUGCCACAUUGUCCCAGACAUGAGUCCGAACUGACACACAGGGCAUUGAUCGUUGGUAAACGGCCCCGUUAUACCAGUCCCUUACAUCAAAAACCCAGACAAGGAAAGAAUAGGAGACUUUUUGCGCCCAUCCAAAUUGCAUCCAAGAAUUACGCGACUUAGGAAUCUUGAUUUAACUCUGCGCCAUGAUUGGAGUAUCGGUAUGCCGUUUGUGCCACUGAUUGUAUGAAAGAAUGGGGGACAGUGUGCGACAUGAAAAACAAGGAUCUUCUCCUCGGACUGCCGCCACACCCCGAGUCUUACGAGUAUUUAUUAUAAUAACGAGCGUGUGCAACUUGCCCAGAAGAAAAGGAGGGCUAGAGGCACCCACGCCAGAGGAA